AAUAUUGCACAAUGUGGGAAACCCUGUUGCAGCGACGCCGCGAGAGCGAAUUAUGCCUUCGGUACNUCAAUCUCUGUCCUAAGGGANAAAACUGACGGUACCUUAGGAGGAAGCCCCGGCUAACUACGUGACAGCAGCCGCGGUAAUACGGAGGCGGCUAGCGUUAUCCGGAAUUAUUUGGCGUAAAUGGUGCGUAGGCGGCUUUUUAAGUCAGAUGUUAAAGGCUACGGCUUAACCGUAGUUAGCAUUUGAAAGUAAAAGGCUUGAGUGCAGGAGAGGGGAGUGGAAUGCCUAGUGUAGCGGUGAAAUGCGUAGAUAUUAGGAGGAACACCAGUGGCGAGGGCGACUCUCUGGACUGCAACUGACGCUGAGGCACGAAAGCGUGGGGAGCGAAC
rnacentral:rRNA from 1 species